GGGCUGGAGCCCAGCAUGGCAUCAAUACCUCUUGUUCCAAGAUGUCCAGACUGGACUUCUGGGGGUCCAAGACAGUGGGCCCUUGAAGAGCCUCCAGGUCUAGCCUUGGCCCUGGAGGACCAAGUCAGGGCCCACCAGGACCACGGAGAACUUCAGGAGGGCCAACAUGGCCGGGCACCCGGUGGGAUACUGCGUCCCUCAAGAAGAUCCCCCGGGAGGUGGUUCCCAGCGUCCACCUCUGUGGGCCCAGAGCUUUUCCAGAUGCCCUGCAGCCCAACCCAGUGGAGACGGGUGAUGGAGCUGGCGAUGGAGCAGGAGGAGAGGCGCCCAGAGGGCAGAGGGGCACCGCGGGCCCAGCCAGCCAUGGACCCUGUCCAUGGAUCUGGUGGGCCUGGCCUCCUCACCAAGAGGGGCGUGUGGGAAUACACCCCAUUGUGGUGGGGUGUCCAGGAACACGGCAGUAAUCGGGGACCCACCUGGGUUCCAGGAACUUCUCCAUGUCUCCUCUUGGCCUGGGCCCCAUGGGCUGAGACCUUCACCGGACCAGGGCGAGAACCAGACUCCCACCUCCCAGUCCUAGGCGCCAGUCCCCAGAACUCUGUCAUGGCUUGGGAGGGGCCACUCAGCUGGUUCAGGGGACUACCAUCCUGUGUCUACGACUUCAGGACCCCUCCUCCCUCCCGGCUCUCAGGUCACUCAGUCUCUUGGGUGGGACUGCCAAGAGGGGUGAGUGGCUCUCAGACCCUCUGUCCCAGGAGCACCUUUCCCACACUCCCACCGCACUGGCCUGCCACUCCUCACCCCAAGACACAGAGCUGGGUCUUCCUCCCCAKAUCUGCUUGUCUUGUGUCUGCUUGUGGGUCUGCAUCCCAACCAUGGGGUGGCUGCAGGUCCUCUCCUGCCCUAGCCCUUGGAAACGCACAGCCUUAUGAAAUGGCACCCACCUGGYUGGCUCCUGGCUGGAGCAGGACCUACGUUUGACAGUAUGGUGGCCAGGUCUCCUCCACCUCCUCUCAGCUCCAGGACUCCCCUCUCUCCAACCUGCUAAUCUGCUUCCUGUCCAUGCUUCUCCCAGGACAUCUCUCCCAUCAAAAGCUGCCCCUGGCCCCAGCUAGACACCCUUUCUGGGUCCGGCUGCUCCAGGCCUGCAGCCACCUCAAGCAGGGCACUCCAGGCCCCGGGCAUCCCACUUUGUCUCCAACUGGUCCCUGGAUUUGCUGCCCCUGAAGCUCUUCUCCUUCUCUAAAUGUCCACUUUGUCCCCUGGGAGUCCCUCCAUCCUCUGAAGACACUCAUCUGUUGGGCCAGCCCUGGUCCUGUCCACCUGGCAGUCUCCUCUCUCCCGUCUUCCAGAAAUUCUGUUUCUGAUCCUCCUCACACAAUGGCAAGGCAUCAGAAGGGGAGACCAGGCUCCGGGGACUUCCCCCAGGGGAUGGACGCGGGGAACAGGGGAGCCGUACCCAGGGGUGGCCAGGUCCCCAAGAGGUCUGUCUUUGGAGCCCAUGGCUGGGACAAGAGGCUUCCCUUGGUGCCUGUGUGUCCUGCGUGGAGUCCUCCAUGUCUAGCGCUGGCACACAGAACCUCCACUCUCCUGAAGGGCUCAGUCAGGAUGGCUGCUGGGACAACCUCCGGUCCACAGAACUUCCAUCCCAAAGCUGACCUGGGGCAGGAGCUACACCGUCUACCAGCCCCCAAGGAGACCGGCCCCCAGGCAGGCAGCCACUCCUGCUGCUGCUCUGACCGUCCAGCCCCUGUCGGCCUCCUCCAGCCAUGGCCAUCAUCAUGAAGCAGUCAGACCCUGCAGGCMGAACUUUGAGAGCAGUCGGGGCUCCAGCGAAGGAGAGGGGUCAGCAGCUUCUGCUGGUGGCGAGGUCGAUGCCAGAGAGCAAAGCUGGACGGCGAGAGCCCAGCUCCUGCGCGACCCUCUGCCCCUCCAGAGCACCCUCCCUCCCUUCAUGCGCGCACACACACAUGCACAUUCUCCAGCGGGAAAUGAGACCCCUGCAGGUUGGCCCAGGCCCUCCCCCUCUCUGGCAGCAGGCAUGGGGUUUUAUGAGUGCUACAAAUCAGAUAUCACACAGUUUGGGGCUGACAUGGUUUUUAUAAGAAUUAUUUAAGGCCCUGGCCGCCGGUGAAGUCCCAGGGAGAACUGGGGUAAGGCGCGUCCAGCUGCUUAGGCUGUCGGGAUUCCAAACACUUCGUAAAGUGAAGGUAGGAGAGGAAAGGGGAGCACCUUGUUCUGCUUAGCGGAGGCUCUCCUGCCCUAGGCGCCAYGGGGAGGGACCGCAGCUGCAAGGCUGCGUAUCCACUCAGGGCCUGUCGGGCCCCUGGCACCUCAGCAAAGCCAGAGGGCCUGAGGUUGGGGGUCGGCCACUCUAGUGUCUAACCUACCCCGACCCUUUACCCCCAGGGAGCACUCUGCAUCCCCAGGACACAGAGGCUGYACCCCUCAGGGUCUCUGUGCUCCAUCUCAGUCUCUGCAGGAUUCCCCAUCUGGCUGGUGCUUCCCAGGGUCAGUGGGCAAACUCCUGCGGGCCUAGACCAGGCCAGGUGCCCAGUGGUGCACCCCCAGUGCUGUGGACUCGACCAACCAGUUGUCACAUGAUAUUUGCGACUUGUUGGGCAAGAACAGCCCUGAGUGGGCCCAGCUGCAGGUCCUGGAAUCAGAGGAGGGAAGAGGGUGGGUGAGCCAGGCACCUGGGCACAGAAGCCCAGUCGCUGCUGACAUGCGCUCAUGGGCAAGCAGCGCAGUGUGGGCACAUCUGUCAUUCAUUCCUCUCCAUGGGCACAUUCAAGCCUGGAUUCUGGGGUGCUGAGCACCUCCACAGUACCCAGAGAACAGCACUCCUGGUGAGGCCUCCCUUCCACUGCCAGCUUUAACACCAGAUGUCUGAGGCUCACAAGAGACAUGGGGACACAGGAACACAGUGGCUUUCUCUUGGGUCAGGGGAGGAAGGGGUGCAGUGUCAGAACUGAGACUGGCAGGGCUUGAGGGACACCAGGGGAGCAGGGCUGUGGCUCCCUCACUUGAAAUGGAAGGCAGCUCAUGGAGAGGAGGGGUCAAACAGCCCACCAGGCACCCCAAACCGGGCCUCGCUGCAGGGAGCUCUCCGGGGAGCCUAGGGGACGGAGCAGAGGUGAGCUUCAGGUGCUCAGCUCCUGUGUGCGCAAGUGUCCAGGAGGCAGGAGCAGAGGGCCCGGGUGGGGCGUCACUGUGGGAAAUGGCCUGAGCUUCCUGGGGUGAUGUGGUUCCGUGGCACCCCCUGCCUGUGACCCUGGUCCUGGCAGAAGUGUUGGUUGCAGGUGCUGGGGACAUACACUCUCCUGUGACAGGGAGGCAGGACCCCUUCUUGCCAGACUCCAUGAAUUGUGGAGAAGGGCUGGGUGUGGCUUUGGGAUCUUCUAUGGUGGCUCAGUAAGGGAAGUGGCCGGAGGCACCUCUGGAGGCCAGCACCCUCAUGGACACGACAGGAGGGCCCCAAACCUGAAAAGGCAGGAUCAGGGACCUGCCCUGUGAGCUGUGCUCUCCUGUGCAGGGAGGGGGCUGGCCUGGUGCAGAGAGGGAGGUGGGACAGGGGCCCCCUUCCCCCAUUGGUCAUAACGUCAGGGCUCUAGCAUCCACAGAGACCGGGGCAAUCAAAGCCAGAUGUAGCAGCAACAACAAAAAACCUGAUUAUUUUGACUAAGAAAAACACUAUUUACAAAGAAAUAAUGAAGUGAUUUGGGGGGAUUGGUGCCGGGGCUGAUCUCAGACAGGCUGGGGGUGGGGGUGCAGAUGCUGAGAAGGUGGCUUUCCCGUGCAUGGAGCUGGCUGCUCUGCAGGUGGCCUGGGCAUCCCCACGGGGCGUCCUGUGAGCUGGGGCCUCUUGGUCUCCAGCUUUGGCCGUGGUGAGCUGGUGGGACACAGGCAAGGUUCCCAGGGACCACCUUUCUCUGCUCUCCCAGGAGGCUGUGGCGUGCCUGGUGAGGAGGAAGAAGGCCACGCAUUCAGUGUGGGCACCCCCUGUGCCCGAUGACCAAGGAAAACAUGUACUGCAGCGAACCCUGAGGUCAGGACACACUAAAAGACCACCAUGCUUGUCCAAUAGGGACUGAGAGACAGUGGAGAAGGAGGGAGAGGGACCAACCACUCAGUGGCUGCUUGGGGCCAGAGCUGGGAGUGGUGCUUGGGGAGGGUGGUAAGGGCUAUGGGCAGCCUCUCGGGUAUUGGCCAGAGGCACUGAGAUGGCAGUGGGUGGCAGGGAGGAAUCCUGCACACAGGGAGGCCAACAGCCUUGGGCCAGGCAUGUCCAUCGCUGGGUGAUGGAAACUCAGGUCCACGCAAAGAUGUGCAUCGCCACAGUGUCUUGCAAGGGCCGAAGGGUGGGAGUGCCCCCAGGCCAUGGUGGCUGACUGCAAGAAUGAAGCUUGGUCCAUCAGGAUAGAAACCCCCAUCCAGGAGGUUCCGGGGGCCGGGGAGGAGAGUGGGAGCCACAGCUAAGCUAGGCAGGGUUAAUGAAAGUGCCUGCCAGUCGCAGGUGUGCAGCCCCCGCGGCACCCAGAAAGCCACCGCGUCACCCCACUCAGGUGGGUGGAACGUGUGGUAUGUGAGCCACCUUUCAAUAAAGGCUUUGAAAGAACA